UUUAAGAAAAGUAUAACAAUGCCUCUGUAUUAGGCCAGUGUGUGCAGUUCCUCCGAGGGAUAUGGAAGUACAUAACUUCAGUGUUUCCAGACGUUGUGUACCUGGCCACAUGGAAUUAAAUAGUGAAGUCUUAAUAGUCAGACCGAUUAUGAGUGUUUAUUGACCUAUCACGGUACCGAGAGACACCCCUAGGGGGGGCUCGGAUCUUCAUUUGGUACCGUGACUCGACUUAGUGCGGACAGACUAUUGACAGUGGCGUAAGAACCUUGAGUUCUCCAUGUUGAGGAAUUGGUCACCCGGAUAUACUUGAACUAAGUGGAGAGACGUGGGGGAUUGCCUACUUACUGACCUGUUUGAUCAUGUACGACAUCCUGAUGGGGAAAACCACUAAGCAUCGAUGCGAUCCAGAACGAUCCGAGACUAUCCACCACCUAUGCCAAGGAGAUGUCAUCCAGUGCACUGGACCAGAAGCCUUUAACAUGUGGAAUGUGACAAAGAUUGAUUAUUGCAAUGGACUCUUACAUCAGAAAGACUGUAUGGUCCAUCUGGAGAGUAGAAAUCAGUGUCAACUACCAUGUCGUUACCGAACCUCUCUUUUUGAUUUUCCCUGCAGACAUACGCCUAGUGAGGAUAAAAAUGAUCAAUCCCCGUUAUUAUGGUAAAUGUUUUAAGGAGGCCCGGGAACACCAUCCCUUUUUUGCAGGACGGACCUACUUGAGAAAAGAGAAGCCUGAUAGGGGAAACUCCUCAAUCCACAAACAGCUUAUUUAUACAGGCCCACUGAACACUCUUUCCCCCAGAAUCAGUGUAUGUUACUCUUCUCUAUUGGUAGAUGACUUAUUUGACGCGUCCAGUCCUUCGAUCCCAAUCUAUUCAUCAGACUUCCUACUGCUGACCCUCUGCAGAGAAAUAUCACUUUCCAAUACUGUAUUAGCCCUCCUGCCAUGUGUUUGCUGACGUCUUUUAACUCUACUGCAGGGUCGUAUGAGAAUUGCUUUAAUGGAACCGGGUAUGGGUGUGCAAUUGUUCAUGUUCCACGUAACAUCACCUGCCUAAUUUGAGACUUGUCCCGCCCACUCAUGUAAGACAAAGGGCCCUUAUACCUCCUGCCCGUGUAUACAAACAGCUUGCAUUCCACUGGCUGGGGGACAACAAGCCUUAUGCGGCAUAAGUAACUAUAACCAUCUCCAUGUACGGACCCGGAACUGAACCCUUCCCUUGCGCUUUUAUAGGUCUUUUUCCUUUUCCGAACCUGAUACUGUCGCCAAGCCCACGUGCAAUAGAGUGAAGGGAGACCCAAAUGGGAACAGAAUUUUGAGGACCAUUGUCUACCAUACAGUGCGAGCACUCAACAGUCACCUUGUCCAUUUUUUUUUAUGGUGCUCAAACGACGCCUCUAGCAAAAUGUCAUCCCUUUAGUCCUGUAGACCUGACCAAAACCCCUGCUGUAUCACUUCAGUAACCUAUUUUAACAAACCCUCCCCAAACCAGACUAUUAUUUCUUCAGCCAAGGUAAAGCUACCAAUUUCUUGUUCUUGAUAGCAAAGUCGUUCCCCAUAAGGUUGCUACUGGAGCCCUUGUUCCCACAACAGUACCUUGUCCUGGCAAGUUGGUGGAAUCUUCAUCUGAGGAGGAUGCAGCGGUCAGUCUCAGCUGACGUUUGCUCCAACUGGAAGGAUCCCAAGGGACUGGGUGACAAUACAGGACACUUGAUAGACUGGGGAGUCCUGAGUACCCUGAGUUUGGGUGGAUCGGCGGGGGGAAAUAAAUCAAAUGAACCGCAAUUACCUCAUCUGCGGUCUGACCAUUCUAGGAUAUAAGACCAAUGAAACUCUAGAACAGAUUAAACUGGGAUUAUCAGAUCGGCGCCUUUACUCUAUGCAGAAUUGGUACGCCUUAGACUAUAUACUAGCCCGGGAAGCUGGGGUCUGUGCUAUUGUCCGAGACAAUGGCCCUAUGGGCAUUCCCAAUCACACUGGCAAUAUUACUAAGAUACAGGAUGAGAUCCAGGUGUUCCUUGACAGAAGGCACUGACUGGGGAGAUUGGGGUUUUGGCUCAUGGUAUGACUGGUUGAUCAAUCUGGCAAUAUAUAUUGGUAUUAUUUUACUUUGUUAUUUUGUUGGUAUUGGUAUUGUUAGAAUUUAUUAGCUUAGCAAUUAUAAUUUAUUAGCAACAUCGGCUCCCCUCAGAGUGCUCCUCCUCAGUCCUGAUGCUGCCCCGUGUGAGGAUGAGGAGAGACAGUUGCCCACCCCUUCCUCCCUGAAAGAAGAGGAAGCAUGACAGGCUGUGGCGUCCAUCCAAUUAGACUGAUCUUUGCCCUCCCGCCCUAUGGUGUGAUCAUGGAAUGACCAAAGUGGGGAGAUGAGAGUCUGAAACCUGAAUGCAGGCUGAGUUAGAACAUGGAGGCUCAUGAUCUAUGCCUAUAUGACUGUUGCAGCUCGAGACAAAAUAGUUCCCUGCGCCUACAUGACUAGUUGCAGCUAGUCUCUAAAGCUACAUAAAUAACCAACCACUAGAAUGCAGAAGUAGACCGAUUUAAAAUGAGGAAUGCUAACCACACUCUUCACAGCUGCAGGUCUUUGUAAUACAAGAUAAAAAAGACCUAAUGUUAUGACCCAAGUUGUUUACCAGUUAAUAUCAUUGGAUCAAGCAACUAUCAAUGAAGUGAUAUCAUAUAUUGAUUGGUAAUUGUCUGAAUUUACUAUGUGAUCAUGCCUUAUGAUCUGCUUUAAGAAAAGUAUAACAAUGCCUCUGUAUUAGGCCAGUGUGUGCAGUUCCUCCGAGGGAUAUGGAAGUACAUAACUUCAGUGUUUCCAGACGUUGUGUACCUGGCCACAUGGAAUUAAAUAGUGAAGUCUUAACAGUC